GUACACUCCUACGGGAGGCAGCAGUGGGGAAUAUUGCACAAUGGGCGCAAGCCUGAUGCAGCCAUGCCGCGUGUAUGAAGAAGGCCUUCGGGUUGUAAAGUACUUUCAGCGGGGAGGAAGGCAAUACGGUUAAUAACCGUGUUGAUUGACGUUACCCGCAGAAGAAGCACCGGCUAACUCCGUGCCAGCAGCCGCGGUAAUACGGAGGGUGCAAGCGUUAAUCGGAAUUACUGGGCGUAAAGCGCACGCAGGCGGUCUGUCAAGUCGGAUGUGAAAUCCCCGGGCUCAACCUGGGAACUGCAUUCGAAACGGGCAGGCUUGAGUCUUGUAGAGGGGGGUAGAAUUCCAGGUGUAGCGGUGAAAUGCGUAGAGAUCUGGAGGAAUACCGGUGGCGAAGGCGGCCCCCUGGACAAAGACUGACGCUCAGGUGCGAAAGCGUGGGGAGCAAACAGGAUUAGAAACCCUGGUAGUCCCA
rnacentral:rRNA from 1 species